AUUGAACGCUGGCGGCAUGCCUAACACAUGCAAGUCGAGCGGAUGAAGGCAGCUUUUUCCUGGUUUCAGCGUCGGACGGGUGAGUAAUGCCUAGUAAUCUGCUUGGUAGUGGUGUAUAACGUCCUCAAACGGGCGCUACUACCACAUACGUCCUGCGCGUGCAAGUUGGUGAUCUUCGGACCUCUCGCUAUCAUAUGAGCCUAGGUCGGAUUUGCUAGUUUGUGGGGUAAAUGCCUACCAAGGCGACGAUCCGUAACUAGUCUGAGAGGAUGAUCAGUCACAAGGGAGGUGAGACACGGUCAAGGGGACUAAGGGAGGGAGCAGAGGGGAAUAGUGGACAAUGGGCGGAAACAUGAAACAAUGGGGGCACGUGUGUGAAGAAAGUAUUCGGAUUGUAAAGCACUUUAAGGGGGGAGGAAGGGCAGUAAGUUAAUACCUUGCUGGAGUGACGUUAACAACAAAAGAAGCACCGGCUAACUUCGUG
rnacentral:rRNA from 1 species